UUAGAGUUGAGUAUUCAACUUACCAAAUCGUAGAUGUAGCUGUCAUUUGCAAUUCUGGAAUACAGAAAGUUGUUAAGAACUGGUCCCUAUCCUAUUCUUGUGCAGCCUUGAAAUAAUUCAAUGCUGAAAAUGCUUUCUUGGGGAUCCUCUUCAACAAGGUUCUGGACUGGCUUUUUUGGCUGAGGUGUCUUUGGUUGGACAUUUGGACAGAAAUUGCAAACCACUCACUUCAACUUUAAAGGUUUGACAUCAU